AGUGAACGCUGGCGGUAGGCCUAACACAUGCAAGUCGAACGGCAGCACAGUAAGAGCUUGCUCUUACGGGUGGCGAGUGGCGGACGGGUGAGGAAUACAUCGGAAUCUACUUUUUCGUGGGGGAUAACGUAGGGAAACUUACGCUAAUACCGCAUACGACCUACGGGUGAAAGCAGGGGAUCUUCGGACCUUGCGCGAUUGAAUGAGCCGAUGUCGGAUUAGCUAGUUGGCGGGGUAAAGGCCCACCAAGGCGACGAUCCGUAGCUGGUCUGAGAGGAUGAUCAGCCACACUGGAACUGAGACACGGUCCAGACUCCUACGGGAGGCAGCAGUGGGGAAUAUUGGACAAUGGGCGCAAGCCUGAUCCAGCCAUACCGCGUGGGUGAAGAAGGCCUUCGGGUUGUAAAGCCCUUUUGUUGGGAAAGAAAAGCAGCAGGUUAAUACCCCGCUGUUCUGACGGUACCCAAAGAAUAAGCGCCGGCUAACUGCGU
rnacentral:rRNA from 1 species